UUAAAUAAGAGGGUUGAGAUAUAUUGAAAAAAAUUCAACUUCCUCCCUUUUUUGCAAAGAACACAGUGAGACUGCCUGAAGGAAAUGUAGGUCAAGACUUUAACAUGCAGAGUACCUACAGUCUUAUGUAUUCAAAAACUUGAUUUCUCCUCUGUGCAUAUGAAGAAAACCACUCAGAAGACUGACGUGAGGCUCUGGAGAGUGGCUGCCCCAGAGCAACCAUCCAUGAGAGCAACCAUCCAUGACACUGGUUUAGGCUUCCGUCAACCCUAUGAGGACUUGGGUUUCUUAGGAUGUGAAGAGUCCAUGGAUCCUCACAUGGAAUACCAUCUAGCAAACAAGCCAAAUUCCUUACCAAGACUGAGGACUUCUCAUAGCACACAUUUGACACAUUAGG